AGUAACGCAUGGGUAACGUACCCUUAACACAGGGAUAGCCUCGGGAAAUCGUGGAUAAUACCUGAUAAGACCACAGCGCCGUAUGGCGUAGCGGUCAAAUGGCGGGGAUCCUUCGGGACCUGCCGGUUUUGGAGCGGCCCAUGUCCUAUCAGCUUGUUGGUGAGGUGAUGGCUCACCAAGGCAACGACGGGUAGCGGGACUGAGAGGUUGGCCCGCCGCAUCGGGACUGAGACACUGCCCGGACUCCUACGGGAGGCUGCAGUAACGAAUAUUGUCCAAUGGGCGCAAGCCUGAGACAGCAAUGCCGCGUGCGGGAGGAAGUCCUUCGGGAUGUAAACCGCUGUCAGGGGCUACCAAGUAAAGAGGGUUAACAGCUCUCUGCGCUGAGGAGCCCCAGAGGAAGCCACGGCUAACUUCGUGCCAGCAGCCGCGGUAAUACGAAGGUGGCGAGCGUUGUUCGGAAUCACUGGGCUUAAAGGGCACGUAGGCGGACCUUCAAGCGUCUUGUGAAAUCCCUCGGCUCAACCGAGGAAUUGCGAGGCGAACUGUUGGUCUUGAGGCAGGCAGGGGCGCGCGGAACUCUUGGUGGAGCGGUGGAAUGCGUAGAUAUCAAGAGGAACGCCAGAGGCGAAGGCGGCGCGCUGGGCCUGUCCUGACGCUGAGGUGCGAAAGCCAGGGGAGCGAACGGGAUUAGAUACCCCGGUAGUCCUGGCCCUAAACGAUGUCCACUAGGUCGACGGCUCUCUGACGAGUUAUCGGCCGAAACAAAAGCGAUAAGUGGACCGCCUGGGGAGUACGGUCGCAAGGCUAAAACUCAAAGGAAUUGACGGGGGCUCACACAAGCGGUGGAGCAUGUUGCUUAAUUCGAUGCAACGCGAAGAACCUUAUCCUGGGCUUGACAUGUAUGGAUGCCUCCCUGGAAACAGGAUUGGUUGCCCUUCGGGGUGAAACAUACACAGGUGCUGCAUGGCUGUCGUCAGCUCGUGUCGUGAGAUGUCGGGUUAAGUCCCGUAACGAGCGAAACCCUGUCAUUAGUGACCAGCGUGUCUUCGGAUGACGUGGACUCUACCGAGACUGCCGGUGUCAAACCGGAGGA
rnacentral:rRNA from 1 species